rnacentral:lncRNA from 1 species
GGCUGGGCUGGGCGCCGCCGCAGUAGGACGAGCCGGCGGCCCGGGCCCGCCCUCCGCCCGCCCUCUCUCCCUCCCGCCGGCAGGGGAGGCCGGGCCCACGUGGGGCCGCUGAGCAGUAGGCGGCGGCGGGGUGACCAUGUGUGCCGGGCGGCGUGCCGCCGGCCGGGGCAGCGCCUGAGCUCAGAGCGAUGCUGCGGGGCGGCGCGGGGCCCUACGUGACCCGGCCGCCCCCCUCGCCUUCCUCUUCGCCUUCUCUUUCUCCAUGAGCGCCCCGGCGGCGGCGGCCCCCGUCAGGCUGAUGCCCGGCGGGCACCCGGAGCAGCCGCCCGCCGGCUCUCCCGCCGGGGCCCCGGCUCCCGCGUGCGGCAGCCCCGCCGCCAAGGUGCCCGGCUGCCCGGUGCCCUCCGCUCCCUCCGCGGGGCCCCCGGCGGUGCGGGCGGCUGCUACGGGGGCCCGCGGCCGGUGGUGGUACCCAAGGGGCCGCCUACCGCUACCAUCCAGCUGCCGGCCAACUUCCAGCUGCCCCCAGCUUCUGCCUUUCCCUUCCUUGCCCAGAGUAAAGCCAAGAGGUGGAAAAGUUAGUGCCUGAUGACCAGGUAUUUCACUCCUCUGAGCUUGGAUUAUGCUUCUGUCAUGAGCUAUGUCACCGAGUUUCCCAUGGAAGAUCGUUGAGCUUCACAUGUUCUGCAGUGCAUACAGAGCCCAGACUUGUUCAUGACUAACAAGGGUUUUUCAUCAUUUUCCUCUACAAAAUGCAUGUUUGAGGCUGAAUAGCAGUCUAGUGCCGUGUUCCUCUUUUGUCCUUAAAGUAUCUCCUGUACCAGCAGUCAUGAUGUGGGAGAGCAUGCAUGCAUGCCUGCCUGCCUGUCUGUAUUGUUUUCAGCCAAGGACUCUUUCACACACCUUCAACAGGGCAGAUUCUACCCUGAAGCUUUGGUUGUUGUGUUUUGCCCUUAAAAUACUGUUAGCUCUUAGACUGGAUGGUGGGUCUGUCUUUUCCUAAACAGAAGGAAUAUCUGAUCAUCAGUUAUCAUCUUUGUUAACAAAAACACUUGUGCAACAUUUCAGAGUUUUGUACUUGAUGAACUUGUCUAUAUGACUGGUGAAGACCAGGCAGGCACAAUGACUGCAGCGCUGCCAACAACAUAUGCUUCUGACCCCAGCUCUGGGAGCUGUGUGGUCUGUGCUGUUCCUCCCCAGACUGCAGAUGUCUUCUGUCAUGGACCACAGUCUUAACAGGGGAUUGUACCUUUGGUUAACUUAAGCUUCCUACUGCAGGAGGAAAUUGUUGGGCUGUGCUGUUACAAGGAGGAAAUGGGUAAAGGCGUGGGUAGGAGACGAGUAGUGAGGUUUCUAGUUACCCUUAUUGCAUUUCUGAUUCUCCUUCAUCAUAGCUGAGUAGUGCAAAUAUAUUGUGUUAAGUAAUAUGAAUGUUUUGAAGGGGCCAUGAGAAAUGUUCAUAGCUCGGUUUAGCGUCUUUGGGUCUGGCACUGGUUUGGGCAAGUGGAGAGUAGAGAAGUAGUGUGAAAAUGAGGAGAGCAUCGCCCUUUGAUUUCCUUUUUUCUCAACUUUUCUUGAACGCACUUCUCUCUGUCUGUGUGGAUUUUAUACUGUCCCUGUCCCUCAAAUUGCAUGCAGGUGUUGGAAGGGACAGUCAGUCAUAUCUGCUUCUCUCCUGAAGGGACAACACACUGCAGAGCUCAGCUGGCUGCUAAGCAUCCUCUGUUGUUACCUUUGGAUCUGCUUACUGUGGCAGGCUUUCUGUGGGAGUGAGCUGGUCUGCCUAGCUCUGGUUGGUGCUGCUGGUGAGCCAGUACUGCUGGAGGUGUGUACUUCACACAUCUGGGCUUGUGUCCUGACUCUGCCUUACUUGAGGCUAGCAUGCUGUUGUGAGGCUCAGCUGCUGCACCAGGACUCCUCUCCAUCUGCCUUGGAGGCAAAACAGUGACAGGUACAGGUCCUUGGCUCCUAUUUGCAGCUCAGUUAUCUUCAAUUGUGUAUUUUGGCCUGUCCCUGCCUGCAGCUUAUCUGGGCUGAUAGCGGAUAGCUGUUGAGAAGGCAUGACUCAGUGUCAUGGCAGGAGGCGGGUGGACAGUGAAGCAGGCACCUGCAGGAAGGAGGAGGCAGCUGAAGCAGUGUCCCUGUGUUUCUCCUAAUUGUCUGGGCUCUAAGGUUGUUUGUGUAGGUGAAGGCAGACAAACAUCGGCAUCCGCCUCUGCAGCUAGCAUAGUGGCUUUCCUGUACUGCACUCUGAAUCUCCCUUGUUCCAUUCUGAUGCUGUUUCUUGGUUGAAAAGCUGUGUGAGGGAUGUUUUCAUAGCUGCAUCAGUCCUUUGCUUUGGAAUAGAAGUGCUAAUUUUUAACUUAUUUUGUUUGUUUGUUUAGGAAGUUGUUAGUCAAAAUGUUCUUCCAGCACAUCAGGAAACUAGAGACUUUGCUGCACGGUCUGCAGUUCCUGGAUGUGGACAAUUUCUUGAAUUCUGAGCAUAAAACUUGACCUGUAGAUGUCAAGUGCAUGCUAAAUGAUGCAUUCUUUUGACCUUUAAUAUCCCAGUAGUGCCCUCUACUUAGCAGGCUUACCUGGGUUGAUUGAAAACUUCUCUCUUCAAAAGAGCCAAUGCCAGUCAACUCUUUCCUGAGGGAGGGGUCAUCAAAGCUGUGGCAGACCUGAGGAACCAAUUCAAAUUGAACAGAUAGUGAGUAAAAGUCUUCCACUGCAACCAGUAGCAAUUUCAACUGCUCUGUAGGAUUUGAUUUGACUUUCACAACUGAAUGUGUCUAGCAAAACAAUGCCUUCAUAUCAUUGAACGUGCUGCCCUAUGGGAAUUAUGAUUUAAAUCUUGGCAGUAGACAUAAAGCUAAUUUCUAGAUUUAUGGUUUUCACAUAAAAGCAGAUGCACUCUGAAUACCGAAGCUCUGAAGUACGAUGCUCAGUAAAAUUAGUGUUUUAGGCUGUUCCAAUUGUACAGUCCUUUGGGCUGUAUUGCACAGAAAUACAGCUGUUGAUUGGUGAAUGUUUAACUUUUUUUUAAUCCUUAGAAAAUGUGAGCCUGACUUCUAUUGCUCUUGUGGUAUUUAAAGGACCCUUUAGGUUACAGCAGCAAAAAUAGCAUCAUCCAUGCACAAAUGGAUGAAAAAAUACUGAAGAUAAUUCAGUAUUACGAUCUCAAAGACUGAUAAAGUAGAUAAGCUUUGAGUUGUUUAUACUGAGCAGCUUGAAAUAGCAGCCUUCUUCAAGUUCUCUUACAGAACCAAGUAUUUGCUUUGCCACAUGAUGGAAAUCUGUGGUAUGCUUAUUGAGUAGAAUUACAUCUUACAGUUACUUAUGCAAGUCUUGCUAUAAGUUGCAAAGCUUUUGAGGAGUAUAAGAAAUGAAUAAUGUAUCUAAGGAAAACAUGGUGGCAGAUAGACAAUCCUUGUUACUAAUGAGCAAAUGUGGUUUCUGUUAAGCCUGAAGAACUCGUGAGGCUCAGUGUCCUUGCUGGGUAACUUGGUGGAGCAGAUGGAUGUUACGAUGGCACUUGGUUUUCUUAGCUCAUGGUUGCAGGCCUCUCCUGGUGCACAGUCCCAGUUUGUCAGAGGCAGAAGAGUUGGAUUUGUUAGCAUUAGCUGCUCCUAGGGAAUUUUCUUGCGUGGAUGUUCAGGCAGAAUUGAAAGGUGGGUGAUGCAGGCGCACCACCUGAAGGCUUUCACCUGCAGCUUGCCGAGUGGCAGAUGCCAGAUAGCUGAAGUGGAGCCCUCAGGAAGCCGGAUCCGUCUAACUAUUUGGUGGUGUACUACAAGGGAAUCUUUGUGUUGAAGGAGUUAAGUGUAUUCAUAGCAUCAUUAAGUAUUGCUGUUACCUGGGUGAACAGGCUGACUCCCAACUCACUAAAACCUCUUUUCAGGGAGUUGUAGUGAUAAGGUCUCCCCCUGAGCCUCCUCUUCUCCAGACUGAACCAUCCCGGUUCCCUCAGCUGCUCCCCGUAAGGUUUGUGCACCAGACCCAUUGCAUCUCCAUUGCCCUUCUUCAGAACACCUUUAUAUAACUUCUAGACUGUUCUCUACUGUUGAAAUAUCACACAGUUCGUUACAGUUUCAAUAGUGCCUGAGUAGAGAGGAGUUAAUACUUCCAUGAAAGUUUUGCUGUCUUCUAUGGGAUUUUUUGUUUGCUCCAUCCUGUUUAGGAGAAGGGGGACAAUAAGAGUUAAAACUCGGUGUUAAGCCCCUUGCUUGCCUUACUGAAAUAUAUGAAAAUUCAUCAAAUAAAUUUGUACUGUUAGAGGAAAUCAAAUGGAAUUCAACCUGCUGCUGCUGUUCUCUGUGUGAACUCCAAGAAAACAGAAGUCUCAUUGUAAAGCUAAUCUGGAUUAGUUGAGUUAAUUCUCCUCUUAGUUAAAGAAGACACAGAUCUAAAGGGGAAUGAUACUGCCUUGUAUUCGUACUCUGUAGUGGUGCCAAAUUGUUUUUUUUACCAUCUCUUGAUUUAAAAUGAAGUUUUUAUAAUCAAAUGUUGUUUAAGUUUCUUGUUCUUUGUAACAACUUCUCUCUGAGUCUUCUGGUAAUGGUAAGUGCAGGGUACUGGUUCUUAUGAAGCUGUGUGCUGCAAUGUGUCAGACUUCAAACUUAAGUUUUAAAUAAUUUCAGUAAAGACUAGGACUUCAGGGCAAGC